rnacentral:lncRNA from 1 species
ACACAGUCGAGGUGAGAUGAGUCUAGGAAAAUGAGAAGAGGCAUUAGUCCUUUAGACUGCAGACCCUUAACUGUUUGUUUGUUUAUUUUAAGUCUUUAUAAGGAACUGAUGACUGAACCCAGAAUAAAUGCGGGAACUGGAGCUUAGAUCCGUUGAUGAACAUGCUGUAAAAGCCUCCUUCAGCGUGAGCUCCACAGAAGAGGCAGAAAAGUCCUGCUGCAGGAGAGACUCAUAACCCUUGGUCAUAUACAACCUUCCAAAACAAUAAAUUAAAUUCCUGAAAGAUUAUUCUGUAGGAUUGUCCUCUCAACACUGGAACUCCAUUUCCUGAAGGAACUGAAGAGUGUGAACCUGCUGAUCUGUGAUACACUGGUGCCCUUGCCGGACCACAUAACGAUGGCGCUUCCCAAACCCAAAAUGAGCAUCAAAUGGAUUCUGGAUGAGAGCCUGGAACGAGAACAUGGGCUGUUGAAAUGCACCAGGAGGAAAAACCUGGGAGAAGAGUGCGGAAGAGGACGAUUCCUGGCCUCAACAGAAGGUUAUCUCAGCCCAAAGCAACCGGCAAGAGCACCGUCUAGAGGAAAAAAUGGUUUCAAAGGAGAGGAACUGAGUUGGAGGUUAUGGAAGUGCACAAGGAGACUUGGUAAGAGCAGAGCAGCUAGAAUGUGAUUUGAUUCAUUUUGGACUUGGAAUCUUGAAAGCCUACACAGCCCUGGUGU